AUUGAACGCUGGCGGCAGGCCUAACACAUGCAAGUCGAACGGUAACAGGAAGCAGCUUGCUGCUUCGCUGACGAGUGGCGGACGGGUGAGUAAUGUCUGGGAAACUGCCUGAUGGAGGGGGAUAACUACUGGAAACGGUAGCUAAUACCGCAUAACGUCGCAAGACCAAAGAGGGGGACCUUAGGGCCUCUUGCCAUCGGAUGUGCCCAGAUGGGAUUAGCUAGUAGGUGGGGUAACGGCUCACCUAGGCGACGAUCCCUAGCUGGUCUGCGAGGAUGACCAGCCACACUGGAACUGAGACACGGUCCAGACUCCUACGGGAGGCAGCAGUGGGGAAUAUUGCACAAUGGGCGCAAGCCUGAUGCAGCCAUGCCGCGUGUAUGAAGAAGGCCUUCGGGUUGUAAAGUACUUUCAGCGGGGAGGAAGGGAGUAAAGUUAAUACCUUUGCUCAUUGACGUUACCCGCAGAAGAAGCACCGGCUAACUCCGUG
rnacentral:rRNA from 1 species